AUUGAACGCUGGCGGCAGGCUUAACACAUGCAAGUCGAGCGAGCGGCGGACGGGUGAGUAAUGUCUGGGAAACUGCCUGAUGGAGGGGGAUAACACUUGGAAACAGGUGCUAAUACCGCAUACUGUUGGAUGGACCCGCGGGGCAUUAGCUCGGUGGUGAGGUAACGGCUCACCAAGGCCACGAUGCAUAGCCGACCUGAGAGGGUGAUCGGCCACACUGGGACUGAGACACGGCCCAGACUCCUACGGGAGGCAGCAGUGGGGAAUAUUGAACAAGGGGCGCAAGCCUGAUGCAGCCGUGCCGCGUGUGAAGAAGGCCUUCGGGUUGUAAAGCACUGUCAGCGAGGAGGCGUUACUCGCAGAAGAAGCACCGGCUAACUCCGUGCCAGCAGCCGCGGUAAUAC
rnacentral:rRNA from 1 species